CACGGGGGGAGCAAGCGUUGUUCGGAAUCACUGGGCGUAAAGCGCACGUAGGCGGACUCUUAAGUCGGUGGUGAAAUCCUGGAGCUCAACUCCAGAACUGCCUUCGAUACUGAGAGUCUCGAGUCCGGGAGAGGUGAGUGGAACUGCGAGUGUAGAGGUGAAAUUCGUAGAUAUCGCAAGGAAGACCAAUUGCGAAGGCGGGUCUCUGGACAGUUCCUGACGCUGAGGCACGAAGGUCAGGGGAUCAAACGGG
rnacentral:rRNA from 1 species